CAAGGAAUUUUCGUCAAUGGGCGCAAGCCUGAACGAGCAACGCCGCGUGGAGGAUGACGGCCUUCGGGUUGUAAACUCCUUUUUCGGGGGACGAUGAUGACGGUACCCCGGGAAUAAGGCUCGGCUAACUCUGUGCCAGCAGCCGCGGUAAUACAGAGGAGCCAAGCGUUGUCCGGAUUGACUGGGCGUAAAGCGCACGCAGGCGGUCUGGCGCGUGGGGUGUGAAAUCUGGCCGCUUAACGGCCAGGCGCCAUCCCAUACGGCCGGACUGGAGGGCUGCAGAGGUCGAUGGAAUUGCCGGUGUAGUGGUGAAAUGCGUAGAGAUCGGCAGGAACACCCAGGGGGAAACCAGUCGACUGGGCAGCACCUGACGCUGAGGUGCGAGAGCGUGGGGAGCGAACCGG
rnacentral:rRNA from 1 species